CCAGCUGCUGUAUAUAACAAUGAAUUUAUUCUUUUUUUCCAGUGAUAAAUCUUCUGUAUUAAUAAGAUAGCAUCCUGGGCAACAUAGCAUUACUUAAGGAAGUGGCCUGUGGAGAUCUUGAACUUACACUGACUCCCUCCUGCAAGCACAUGUUCCAGAUAACAUCUUGCAGAGUCACCAGUAAAAGAGAUUUCUUCAUUACCAUCUCAUUAUUUCACCCAAGAUAAGAUGUUUCCAAGGUGACACUGGAGCAGGGCUAGUGUGAAAAUUUUACAAUCAUAAACUUUCAUCCACUUCAUGUAUCAGAUGGAGCCUUAAGCUUAUCUACAGACACCAACAAGCCUGGAACAGGAUUGAAGGUAACCCAUGUGUAUGUGUUUACUAGUGAUGACAUGUCGAUCAUACUUCAGAUCAGGACUUACUUGUAUAUGAGGUGUAGUUAGUAUUUUCAUGAGAAUUUCUAGCCUACCAACUUGAAAGAGAGGGCAGUCUAUCUGAGGUUUCAAGAGUCACAUAAAUUGAUAUCAAAUGGACAGAAACAUUCUUACUUGUUUAGGUUGCCUGUUAGGCAGCUGAAUGGAAAAAUAAAUGAGUCAGAACUAUGAAAUACCUGGAAUGU
rnacentral:lncRNA from 12 species